CAGAGGAAAAGAACUCGAUUGACCGAUGAGCACCUAAAAUCCGUGAUGAAAAAUAUUUCUCCAGACAGAAUAACAGAAUACCAACUCUUUCCAGUGUUGAAGAAAUGUAGGAAGGGUAUAAUCGUGCUUCAAAUGUCCAACUUUGUAUCUUUACCAAAACUGACUACAGUUCAAUUGUAUCUACAAAUGUGCUCUGUUCAAUUUUAGAUAAUCUACUCGUAAAGAUACAAUUUUAAGCAAUAGAUGGCAGCACUGCUAUUAUCGAAGCUACUAGGUAAG